AGCUCGGUAGUUCAGUGGCUAGAAUGCGCCACUCUUAAUGGCGUGACUCGGGUUCGACUCCCGGCCGGGCAG
rnacentral:tRNA from 1 species